UGGAAAUAUUUUAAUAAAAAUACAGCACUGUUUAUAAAUAGUGCAUAUGUGAAUCAUGUGUAGUGCGAUUGAGAUGAUUCGUUUGUUAAAAAGCGAAUACAGAUAUCACGUGGCUUGCAAUCGGUAACCAAACUCUCUAUUCUCAUAAUACAGAUUGACAUGAACUGAAAUGAAUACACCUUGUUUUGUAACAAAAUGGAAUGGGAGUGAGUAAAGAAUCGAAACUUUCAUUAAUAUUUGUUUCUUUGCUUGUUUGAAAUUAAAAUGCAGUGACUUUAAUUACUUCAAGGUUUAUAUUUUCUGAAAAGCUAAAAUGGCAGCCAAGUUGAGGAAUCCUAUGAUGCUGCUUUUAUUUUACAGCAUUUUGAUGGUGACUUUACCAAUUAUGUCCUUUUUUCUGACUCAAUAUUCGGUUGAAAGAUUUCUGGAUGUUGCUAACUCUCGCAGUUAUAUUUAUGCUACAACUGUCAGUGUUGUUGUUGUGCAUAUUAUAUUAGGAUUUUUUGUGUACACUGCAUUCAAAGAAGAGAAAGUGGUUCCUCUAGCUGAAAAGGAAGAUUAAACUUCUAUUUUUUUCUUUUUUAACUUCUACACUAAGUUUAGAAUGUACUUCUGCUAUAAGGUGGUUGUGCUUAAUGUUAUAUAAGUUCAAAGUUAUUGUAUAAUCCAGGAAUAUUAUUUUAUUUGUAUUUUCAAUUUUUUUUCUCUAAAUACUUAGUUUUAAUUUCUGGGACCAUGGUUUGCUUACUUGACUUGAUGCAUGAUAGGUAGAAACUAAAUAUAUUAUUAAAAAAUUAGCUUUACCUCUGUGUGUUAUUUAUCUUUUAUGCAUGCUAGUAGAUGUAGGUAAUCUACUUUCAAUGUGCUAAUAUUUUAUUCUAUGAAUUACGACUUACAACAAAGCAGUAAAAAAAUGUGAAAGUCAGUAAAUGUAAAAACUAAUUUUAAAAUUAUCUUAUAAGAACUGAUGUACUUUUCAAUACAACUUCUCAAUAAAUGUGACAACAAAAUAAGAUUACUAUCUUAAAUUUCUCAGUCUGUAAGCAAAACAUGUCUCAUUUACGCUCUGUCAUUUUUUUCCCUUCAUGUGUUUUAAUGAUGAAAUUAAAAAAUAUAGUCAUUACUAGCUGUGGAAGUGGAAUAUUUUUACAAAAUUUUGUUUAGCUAUUCAAAUAUUUUGUGAUAUAUUAUUCUCAAAGUUUUUAUUUAUAGGACUUUUCUUUCAUCUCGUACCUUGUAUAAAAAAUACAAAUUUUGAUGAAACAAUUGUUUUAAGCUGCUGUGAUGUGACGUGUUAAGUUGAAUAUGUGAGGAAUAAAAUGUUGUUAGGAAAAACAUAUUUUUCAUAAGCAUUGUCUUUAUCAGUAAAUAGAUUGUUUAACAAUCUAUCUUAUUUUUAUUAACUUUUAUCAACCUCUUUGCAAAAUUCUAAAUUUAUAAUUUAAAUGAAGAUACAUCUUGAUUCUACCGUCAUACGUUGGUACUUUAGCUAAGAUAUAGUUAUUUUUACAUUGUUUCUACUAAGUAUAUAAUAAAUUUUUGGGUUUCUUUAAUAACAUAUCUAUGCUAUAAUUUUUCUGCCUGAUAAAGAAAAUCGAAAUUAUUAGUUUUAAAACUUAAUUUCAUACAAAUUUAUUUUUUACAUUUUCAAGUUAACAAACACAAAAAGAAUUUUUUUUUUUGUAAUUUUUUUUAUUAAAAUCAACUUGGUUUUUAGUUAUAUUGUUUUAUUUAUUAUUUAUAAGUGUUUUUCAUUUAUUUAUUUCAAGGUUUAUUUAUCUAAAUUUAUGUUGUUAAACAAAUUUGUUUUGUUAUUUUUCGAUUCAACCUUUGCAGAAUUAUUCAAUAUCUUACCAUUUCUCCUGCCUAAUAAGCAGCAAUCUACUUAUUAAAAUUUUUCUUCUUUUAAACAUAAAAUAGUUACGUCAAAUAUUGUUUUGUAUAUCUCAUAGUCGAAAUCUUCAAAAUUUUACAAUUUUUAUUAAGUACUAACUGUAGAAAUAGUAAAGCAUUGUAAAAAUGAAUUUUUUUAAUGUAUGAGGGAUAUGUUUUAAAAGAGAUUUGGUUUGUGUCAUGCACAAAAGAAAUGUUGAUUGUGUUAGUUAGCAAGAUUUAAUAAAAGUCACCUAAUUUUUAAAUUUGUCUUACUUUUUAAAAUUUUAUUUAAAUUUUACGGAUUUAAAAAAAUAAAUGAAAUAAAAAAUAAUAAUAAGAAGUUGGCGAAGGUCUACAUAUUUUGACGACUUUUCGCUUGUUCCCAGCGAACUGAAUAUGAUCAAAAUGUUGAAACCAGUAAUUUACAUUCUCUUGAAAAAUGUUAAUAUUCAUCAAGUUUAAAUUUUUUGUAUUAGUUAGUUUAUGCUAUCUUCAAAAAUAAAAAGAAUUGAAUGUGUGCCUUGAAUAUUUUUAUGUAAAUAAUUAUUUCAGUUUAUCUUAUUGUGAAAUGUGUUUUCAUAGCUAGUGAAUUUUAUUUUUGUGAUUGUCACAAUUUGUGUGUUUCUGCAAUUUCCAGAGCCUUGCAGUAUAAUAUCUCACAUAUAAGUACAAAUGAAUAGAGAUCCCUGUCCAAAUAUCCCACUUAAACUUUUCAAAACUUCAUUUCCUUUUGUUUGGAAACAAUUUUGAAAACUUAAAAGAUUUUAUUUGGGUAUAAUUGUUUUCAUGUUGUCUAUUUUGUCCCUUUUUGUGAUUGUAUUUUACUAAAAUGUCUUGCACUUGAUGAACCUUUUGUUAGUCAUUUUAGUGUCUGUUAAUGUUUAACUCAAUCUAAUGUAUAUAUUACUGUUAUAAUUCUUUCUAUUUUUGAAGGCAGGUAAACGUUAAUACUUUAAUCUGUUAAGCUGAUAAUUUUGACUCUAACAUAAUAAUUACGUACUAAUUAAAAAAAGAUUGUUAGUUUUUUACAUAUUUGAUUGUUUUGGGUAUAUAUUUACAGUUAAAUGAUAUUAAAAUUAUGACAAAUUAUUGUCAAUUCUUAGGUAUUUUGAUGUAAAUAAUCUCAAUAACUCUGUCUUUUGCUUUUAAAUAACUUUCGUAGAAAUUUUUUAGGCCAUUUAAAGUUUCAGUAGUUAGUGAUUUGGAGAUCACUUGAAAUCUUUAAUUUCUGUUAGAAGUUAAUUUGCAUAAUUUUUAUUUUGAAUUAAAGGCAUAUACUAUUACAUGGAAUUUUUGUCUUAUUUCAUUUUCCAAAAUGUAAGUAUUUAUAAAUUGUUUUAUAAGUGUAUCAAGUAAUACAUUUGUUGAGUUGUAUUUUGAAAUUUUAAUUUUUUUUUUCUGUUUGUGUAUUUUUAAAAAAAAAGUUCAAUAAAUAAGGCAUGUUUUUAAAGUACUUUAUUAAAAAGAAGUUGAAAGUUGUUCAUAAUAUUAACUUCAGAAAAAGAAUACUUCAACUCAUCGGUGUAUUCUUUUUUCAAUGGAACUUUCAAAAAAUCACAUGGAAGAUGCAAUAUAUAUUAUAUUAAUUUAGAUCAUUAUGUACAUUUUAUCUCUUUUUUUGUUACAAGGAAUACAUUUCAAUCUUUGUACAUGCUUGUUUCAUUUUUGACUAGAAGUCUUAUUCUUCUCUCUUUUUUUUCAAUAAACUUUUUUUUUUAA